rnacentral:rRNA from 1 species
AUGAAUGUUCUUGCCUGGAACUAUCGAGGAUUGGGGUUGGACUCGACAGUUGGCGAACUUCGUGACCUGGUUAGGUCCCACAACCCAGCGGUGGUCUUUUUGAGUGAAACGAAGAAAAGUGCAAGGGCUAUGGAGAAGCUGAAGUGGAGCUUGGGAUUCAGAAGUGGCGUGGCGGUUAGUUUUGUGGGAAGAAGUGGCGGCCUCGUGAUGUGGUGGAGGGAACAUGUGCAUGCAACGAUUAGGCCUUGGUGCCAAUACUUCCUGGAUGCAGAGGUGGUGCUAGAUGGUAAAACCUUUAGGAUCACUGGAUUCUAUGGGGAACUCGACACUGAGAAAAGGAAGAAGUCAUGGGAUGCUUUACACUUUUUACGGAGUCAAGACAAUCUCCCUUGGCUUUGUGUGGGUGAUUUCAAUGAGGCGAUGUUCCAAUCCGACCAACAAGGUGGCAAUUUGAGGAGUUUUACGCAAAUGGAAGAUUUCAGAGACUGCUUAGCAGAGUGCGGUUUGGCCGACUUGGGAUUCUCUGGAUAUAGAUAUACAUGGGACAAUAGGAGAGAUGGUGAUGCUAAUGUGCAGGUCCGGCUUGACCAUGCAACUUGCACCGACGCUUUUCUGGAGAUGUUCUCCGAGACUAAUGUUGAGAACCUUAUCACGGAAGAGUCCAAUCAUCUGGCCCUCCUUGUGCAUGUGUUGGAGACGGCUCCAACACAACGAUAA